AAGUUGUAUUAUUGAAAUCUCUAUUUGUCAAUUAAUUCUUAAAUGUCUAACUCUUCUUUUUCUCUUGGCUAUCUACAGAAAAUGGAUUAUUUGUGGUCUUGCAGAAUGCUUAAUGUCACUUUAAUUUGUUUUUGGGUAGGAAGCUUUGAAAAGGAAGCUAAAUGCUAUAAUAGAAUAUGCCAAGUUUCUUCAGGACACAGUCAAAGAAAUAAAAUUGGUGCAUAUGCAGGGGCCAGGAAGACUCUGCAACAUGGGCACAUAACAUUGGAAACAGUUGGAGAACAACUGGAGAUAUCAAAGAUACUUGGGAUAGACCUUGAAAUGCUUGAGGUGGGCAACAGAGGAAUGUCAACAGAAGAAUACCGCUCCCACUUCAGCAUUUGGGCUUUAGCAAAGGCUCCCCUUAUCCUUGGUGUGAUAUUCGUUCCAUGGACAAGGACACAUUGGAGGUGAUUACCAACAAGGAGGUUAUUUCUGUUAACCAAGGUCUGGGCUGGUCCUCUAAGUGGCAAUAGGAUAGCAGUAAUAUUGUGGAACAGAGGAUCUUCCAAAGCCACCAUAAGAGCUGACUGAGUGACAUUGGCCUCAAAUCAUCAGCAGUGGUUGAUGCUCGAGAUUUAU